rnacentral:rRNA from 1 species
AUGUCGCAUCACGGUAGACAUUGCCUCCAUGAUCCCGAACCUUGGGUCACGAUGAAAAUCACUAUACAUCCCAACAAAUUGGCUCAUGAGAGCAUCGACAUCAUCCAUUUCAGCCACAAAGCCAGCAUCACAGUAAGGGCACUCCAUCUCCCGUCCACGCGGCCUAACCCGCUGUCUACACUGGAAGCACCAAUAUGUCUGCCGACCUCCUGA